CCUACGGGGGGCAGCAGUGGGGAAUAUUGCACAAUGGGGGAAACCCUGAUGCAGCGACGCCGCGUGAGUGAAGAAGUAAUUCGUUAUGUAAAGCUCUAUCAGCAGGGAAGAAAAUGACGGUACCUGAGUCAGAAGCCCCGGCUAACUACGUGCCAGCAGCCGCGGUAAUACGGAGGGGGCAAGCGUUAUCCGGAUUUACUGGGUGUAAAGGGAGCGUAGACGGCAGUGCAAGUCUGGAGUGAAAGGCGGGGGCUCAACCCCCGGACUGCUCUGGAAACUGUACGGCUGGAGUGCAGGAGAGGUAAGUGGAAUUCCUAGUGUAGCGGUGAAAUGCGUAGAUAUUAGGAGGAACACCAGUGGCGAAGGCGGCUUACUGGACUGUAACUGACGUUGAGGCUCGAAAGCGUGGGGAGCAAACAGGAUUAGAUACCCUUGUAGUC
rnacentral:rRNA from 1 species